rnacentral:rRNA from 1 species
GAUGAACGCUGGCGGCGUGCCUAAUACAUGCAAGUCGAGCGAAUGGAUUAAGAGCUUGCUCUUAUGAAGUUAGCGGCGGACGGGUGAGUAACACGUGGGUAACCUGCCCAUAAGACUGGGAUAACUCCGGGAAACCGGGGCUAAUACCGGAUAACAUUUUGAACCGCAUGGUUCGAAAUUGAAAGGCGGCUUCGGCUGUCACUUAUGGAUGGACCCGCGUCGCAUUAGUUAGUUGGUGAGGUAACGGCUCGCCAAGGCAACGAUGCGUAGACGACCUGAGAGGGUGAUCGGCCACACUGGGACUGAGACACGGCCCAGACUCCUACGGGAGGCAGCAGUAGGGAAUCUUCCGCAAUGGACGAAAGUCUGACGGAGCAACGCCGCGUGAGUGAUGAAGGCUUUCGGGUCGUAAAACUCUGUUGUUAGGGAAGAACAAGUGCUAGUUGAAUAAGCUGGCACCUUGACGGUACCUAACCAGAAAGCCACGGCUAACUACGUGCCAGCCGCCACAGUAA